GCCAUAGAGAAAUGCAUAUUUUGAUUGUAAGCGAUUACUAGUUAGUUUGUACGUGUGUUUUGUUUUAGUCAACUUCAAUUUAGGAGCGGAACAAACCAUUGUCACAUUGGUAUUCUUAGCGAAGGAGAAGAUGCUAUAAUUGAGGAGGAAUGUGGCUGACAUCUGGAGGAUCAAUUUUGUAUUACUUCAUAAUAAUUAUUCAUAAUAAUUACUGACAUUUUGAUGAAAAAUCUUUUUUCCUCAAAUAUGAUAACAAAUUUAUGCUAAUUUUUCUGAAAUUCUUAUUUUAAUACACUUUAAUGUAAGAUAAUGUAGGGCCUUAUUGCUAUAAAUACAUGUAGAGGUAAAAAAAUGAAAACACAGUGUGGUCAAUUUCAUGUAUUUUUGGGGGCCAUAGAUGAGUUAAAGUUUGCAAGAUCAGUACUAAUAUAUAUGACCUAAAUGUAAAUGAGUGAGCCAUUGUUUUAUAUAUGUUAGUGCAUCUAGUUCAAUCUGUUUCCUAAGGACUGUGAAAGGUGUUCACUGUAGUUUAGGGUAAAACUUUGGAGUCAAGGGAAAGAUCAUUUUCCUUGAUGAAAAUUGAAUUAGUUGGUAGUGACAAAACUAGUCAGUGAUCGGUACAGCAUUCUGUGCCACACAGCUUUGGUCCCAUAACAUCUACUUUGUCAGUUUUUCUAAGUCAUUGCAUAAUCUGGUGACUGACAUAAUAUGAUAUGUCUCUGUGUAGAACAGCCCACACAUUACUCAAAGUUCUGUUAAUAGACAGACAUCUUCUGAUUGGACAUGGCACUACUGGAUGUACUGAAAGAAUGAUACAUAAGGGAACUUAUAAGAAGCAAUAAGCACAUUUAGAGGUGCUCAAAAAAGCCAUAAAGUUACAUAUAUUGUUAAGUUCUAUCAAAAAGGCACUAGAUAGAGCUCUUUAGAGGAUUCCAUGCACAAUCAAAAUCCCUUGGUAAGAUAACUCUUCUGCCAAAAGAGAACUAGUAGUAAUAAUAAUGAUAAUAAUAAUGAGACUUUGAUGAUGUUCUUUUUGGGUCUGAGAGUCUGUGUCACCUCAGUAUAAAAACCUGAUCAAAGAAAA